rnacentral:misc_RNA from 1 species
UACGAAGGGCCCGAGCGUUGCGCGGAAUCAUUGGGCUUAAAGCGUGCGUAGGCGGAUCGUCAAGCGUCUUGUGAAAUCCCCCGGCUCAACCGGGGAACUGCAGGGCGAACUGGCGAUCUUGAGGUCGGUAGGGGUCAUCGGAACGCUCGGUGGAGCGGUGAAAUGCGUAGAUAUCGAGCGGAACGCCAAAGGCGAAGGCAGAUGACUGGGCCGAUUCUGACGCUGAGGCACGAAAGCGUGGGGAGCGAACGGG